GGCCCAGAGAAGGGCAUGUUUGGAGCCUGGCUGUGUCACCUUGGGCCACCCUCUUGCGGGCGAGCGCUGGCUACCAUUGGACUGUCCGGCGCGAGGGGAAGGGUGAUCUAUAAAUAGGGAAUGGGUACACGUGACAGUUUGGCAGCUGCUCCUACCCCUCCACCCCGCCCAACCUUCAGCUUCUGAGGCUGCGCAGGGGGAGAAAAGGGUUAGGGGGUCGAGCCCUGACUUCGCCUCCUCUUCCAAGAAGCCUUCCCAGACACUCAGCUGUAAAACCAGACGGACGUCCUCCGAUGAAAUUGUUUCUACUUAGGGCCGGCUUCACCGGCUUGGAAUCCACUUAGAAGGGUCUUCGCGCUUGGUUGAAUGUUCUGCAAUUUCUGUCUUGAAAUUUUUAGUUUUUGAGCAAGGGGCCCCUUAUUUUCACUUUGCACUAGGCCAAAUAUGUAGCCGGUCUUGCUGCUAAGAGUCUAAGAUCGAUUGCAUUCCAAAUUCUGGAAUUAUAAGACCCUGGGUGGAAGAUUCUAUGCUUUGACCAGAAGAGAGUCUAAGCAGCUUUUGUCUCCCAGGUGCUAGGAGGAUGUGUGCUCAUCAUUCUUCCAUUCCAGGGGCCUUUGUUCUACGUUCUAAGGGGCUUUGUUCUCAGCCUUCUAUGAUGCUCUAUUCUCAACGUUCUCUGGUCCUAGGAGUCUGAGCCUGACAUUCGUUUCCAAGGCUUCCUGCUGUCUCUCCAGGCUCCGCAAGCAGGGCUGGGGCACCCUCAGGCGGCCAAUCUGUAUCACUACGCCGAGCCUGCCUCUACCAACUUCCAAGACCUAGCUCUAAUAUUCAUACUCAUCUCUCAGACAGACCUUGGCUCCCUAAAAGCCAAGGCCCAGAAGAUCAUACAAGAAAUUCCCUCUUUUAUGAUUCCCCGUGCACGAAGUGACCUUCUGGUGGUGAGAUGGAGAGAAAUUGAUAGUGGCGAUAGACAGCAAAGUCUCCAGGAGCCAGACUUCCUCGGGGAACUUGGGGCACGUGUGGAGUGUGAGUGAGUGAGCUGCUGGAAUGAACUGACCAGACAGGACAUCAUCUAUGUAUGGGAUUAGAAUGGAAUUACAGGAGAAAACCAAAUCCCUCAAAUUAGCAUUCAGGAUCGGAAAAAAAAGGUCAAGUCCAAUGUCCCUUUUCUUUACAGUAUAUACAAGUGUCUCUAUCAACAUUAGGUUUUGAGGUUGAGUGCAGUGGCCCACACCUGUAAUCCCAGCACUUUUGAGAGGUGGAGGAUCGUUCAACCCCAGGAGUUCAAGACCAGCCUCGGCAACAUAGUGAGACCCCAUCUCUAUAACAAAUAAAAAACAUGCCCGGGCUAUGUCUCUCUACUGGCAGGGCAGUCCUUGGCUGUCUCAGUCACCACUGUGUCCCCAGCAUCACCCAGCUCAGUGACACAAAGGAAUGAGUGAAUAUAUACUUCUCUAUUUCAUAGAUAGAGAAGUCAUCACAUCAACAUAAAAUAAAAUACUGAAUGUUACGUAUCAGCCCAUGCUCUUAGACCACCACCAAGACCUUGUCUUGUCCUGCACCGAGCAACCUCCGUGUCACCCUGCUCCACCUGCUCCAUGAAGCCGCACCCUCCAGAGAGGACCCUUCCCCUUUCCACCCUUCGCGGACCACUCAAUGAGCUACCCUGCACCUGACCCCUUCUGUCCAAGUCAUCACAGUAUUCCCAGAGCUGGAACAGUCAAUGCCUGGCACAUCGUGGGCACUCAACAUGUUGAAUCAAUGGUUACAAAUACAUGAAUGUACUUGUUGAAUAAAUGGUUAUAAAUAAAUGAAUGAAUGAUCC
rnacentral:lncRNA from 1 species